AAUAUUGGACAAUGGGCGAAAGCCUGAUCCAGCGACGCCGCGUGGGUGAAGAAGGCCUGCGGGUUGUAAAGCCCUUUCGGUUGGGAAGAAAAGCUGCGACCUAAUACGUCGCGGCCUUGACGUAACCAACUAAAGAAGCACCGGCUAACUCUGUGCCAGCAGCCGCGGUAAUACAGAGGGUGCGAGCGUUAAUCGGAAUUACUGGGCGUAAAGCGCGCGUAGGCGGCUUUGCAAGCCGGAUGUGAAAUCCCCGGGCUUAACCUGGGAACUGCAUUCGGGACUGCAUUGCUAGAGUAUGGGAGAGGGAAGUGGAAUUUCAGGUGUAGCGGUGAAAUGCGUAGAUAUCUGAAGGAACAUCAGUGGCGAAAGCGACUUCCUGGACCAAUACUGACGCUCAUGUGCGAAAGCGUGGGGAGCAAACAGG
rnacentral:rRNA from 1 species